rnacentral:rRNA from 1 species
AUUGAACGCUGGCGGCAGGCCUAACACAUGCAAGUCGAACGCGUGGCGGACGGGUGAGUAAUGUCUGGGAACCUGCCUGAUGGAGGGGGAUAACUACUGGAAACGGUAGCAAAUACCGCAUAACCGCAGAUAUGCCCAGAUUGGAUUCGCUUGUUGGUGGGGUAACGGCUCACCAGGGCGACCAUCCCUAGCUGGUCUGAGAGGAUGACCAGCCACACUGGAACUGAGACACGGUCCAGACUCAUACGGGAGGCAGCAGUGGGGAAUAUUGCACAAUGGGCGCAAGCCUGAUGCAGCCAUGCCGCGUGUAUGAAGAAGGCCUUCGGGUUGUAAAGUACUUUCAGCGGGGAGGCGUUACCCGCAGAAGAAGCACCGGCUAACUCCGUGCCAGCAGCCGCGGUAAUAC